rnacentral:rRNA from 1 species
AGCGAACGCUGGCGGCAGGCCUAACACAUGCAAGUCGAACGAAGUCUUCGGACUUAGUGGCGGACGGGUGAGUAACACGUGGGAACGUGCCUUUAGGUUCGGAAUAACUCAGGGAAACUUGUGCUAAUACCGAAUGUGCCCUUCGGGGGAAAGAUUUAUCGCCUUUAGAGCGGCCCGCGUCUGAUUAGCUAGUUGGUGAGGUAAGGGCUCACCAAGGCUACGAUCAGUAGCUGGUCUGAGAGGAUGACCAGCCACAUUGGAACUGAGACACGGCCCAAACUCCUACGGGAGGCAGCAGUGGGGAAUCUUGCGCAAUGGGCGAAAGCCUGACGCAGCCAUGCCGCGUGGAUGAUGAAGGUCUUAGGAUUGUAAAAUCCUUUCACCGGUGAAGAUAAUGACUGUAGCCGGAGAAGAAGCCCCGGCUAACUUCGUGCCAGCCGCCGCGGUAACAC